rnacentral:rRNA from 1 species
GUGCCAGCCGCCGCGGUAAUACAGAGGGGGCAAGCGUUGUUCGGAAUUACUGGGCGUAAAGGGCGCGUAGGUGGCCUUCUAAGUUGAACGUGAAAUCCCUGGGCUCAACCCAGGAACUGCGUCCAAGACUGGGAGGCUUGAAUCCGGGAGAGGGAUGCGGAAUUCCAGGUGUAGCGGUGAAAUGCGUAGAUAUCUGGAGGAACACCGGUGGCGAAGGCGGCAUCCUGGACCGGUAUUGACACUGAGGCGCGAAAGCCAGGGGAGCAAACGGGAUUAGAAACCCCCGUAGUCC